rnacentral:misc_RNA from 1 species
GAUGAAGAACGUAGCGAAAUGCGAUACGUAAUGUGAAUUGCAGAUUUCAGUGAAUCAUCGAAUCUUUGAACGCACAUUGCGCCCGCUAGUAUUCUGGCGGGCAUGUCUGUUCGAGCGUCAUUUCAACCAUCAAGCCCUAGGCUUGCGUUGGAGCCCUGCGGCUGCCGCAGGCUCCCAAAUCCAGUGGCGGGCUCGUCGUCGUACCGAGUGCAGUAAACAUCCUCGCUCAGGGAACGUGACGGGUUCUUGCCGUGAAACCCCCCACAUAUCAAGGUUGACCUCGGAUCAGGUAGGAAUACCCGCUGAACUUAAGCAUAUCAAUAAGCGGAGGA